rnacentral:rRNA from 1 species
CAGAAGUGCGAAUGCUGACAUAAGUAACGAUAAAGCGGGUGAAAAGCCCGCUCGCCGGAAGACCAAGGGUUCCUGUCCAACGUUAAUCGGGGCAGGGUGAGUCGACCCCUAAGGCGAGGCCGAAAGGCGUAGUCGAUGGGAAACGGGUUAAUAUUCCCGUACUUGGUGUUACUGCGAAGGGGGGACGGAGAAGGCUAUGUUGGCCGGGCGACGGUUGUCCCGGUUUAAGCGUGUAGGUGUGUGUUCCAGGUAAAUCCGGUUCACUUUAACACUGAGGCGUGACGACGAGGCACUACGGUGCUGAAGCAACAAAUGCCCUGCUUCCAGGAAAAGCCUCUAAGCAUCAGGUAACAUCAAAUCGUACCCCAAACCGACACAGGUGGUCAGGUAGAGAAUACCAAGGCGCUUGAGAGAACUCGGGUGAAGGAACUAGGCAAAAUGGUGCCGUAACUUCGGGAGAAGGCACGCUGACACGUAGGUGAAGUGAUUUACUCAUGGAGCUGAAGUCAGUCGAAGAUACCAGCUGGCUGCAACUGUUUAUUAAAAACACAGCACUGUGCAAACACGAAAGUGGACGUAUACGGUGUGACGCCUGCCCGGUGCCGGAAGGUUAAUUGAUGGGGUCAGCGCAAGCGAAGCUCCUGAUCGAAGCCCCGGUAAACGGCGGCCGUAACUAUAACGGUCCUAAGGUAGCGAAAUUCCUUGUCGGGUAAGUUCCGACCUGCACGAAUGGCGUAAUGAUGGCCAGGCUGUCUCCACCCGAGACUCAGUGAAAUUGAACUCGCUGUGAAGAUGCAGUGUACCCGCGGCAAGACGGAAAGACCCCGUGAACCUUUACUAUAGCUUGACACUGAACAUUGAGCCUUGAUGUGUAGGAUAGGUGGGAGGCUUUGAAGUGUGGACGCCAGUCUGCAUGGAGCCGACCUUGAAAUACCACCCUUUAAUGUUUGAUGUUCUAACGUGGACCCGUUACCCGGGUUGCGGACAGUGUCUGGUGGGUAGUUUGACUGGGGCGGUCUCCUCCUAAAGAGUAACGGAGGAGCACGAAGGUUGGCUAAUCCUGGUCGGACAUCAGGAGGUUAGUGCAAUGGCAUAAGCCAGCUUGACUGCGAGCGUGACGGCGCGAGCAGGUGCGAAAGCAGGUCAUAGUGAUCCGGUGGUUCUGAAUGGAAGGGCCAUCGCUCAACGGAUAAAAGGUACUCCGGGGAUAACAGGCUGAUACCGCCCAAGAGUUCAUAUCGACGGCGGUGUUUGGCACCUCGAUGUCGGCUCAUCACAUCCUGGGGCUGAAGUAGGUCCCAAGGGUAUGGCUGUUCGCCAUUUAAAGUGGUACGCGAGCUGGGUUUAGAACGUCGUGAGACAGUUCGGUCCCUAUCUGCCGUGGGCGCUGGAGAACUGAGGGGGGCUGCUCCUAGUACGAGAGGACCGGAGUGGACGCAUCACUGGUGUUCGGGUUGUCAUGCCAAUGGCACUGCCCGGUAGCUAAAUGCGGAAGAGAUAAGUGCUGAAAGCAUCUAAGCACGAAACUUGCCCCGAG